GAUGAACGCUGGCGGCGUGCCUAAUACAUGCAAGUCGAGCGAACAGACGAGGAGCUUGCUCCUUCGACGUUAGCGGCGGACGGGUGAGUAACACGUAGGUAACCUACCUAUAAGACUGGGAUAACUUCGGGAAACCGUAGCUAAUACCGGAUAAUAUUUCGAACCGCAUGGUUCGAUAGUGAAAGAUGGCUUUGCUGUCACUUAUAGAUGGACCUGCGCCGUAUUAGCUAGUUGGUAAGGUAACGGCUUACCAAGGCAACGAUACGUAGCCGACCUGAGAGGGUGAUCGGCCACACUGGAACUGAGACACGGUCCAGACUCCUACGGGAGGCAGCAGUAGGGAAUCUUCCGCAAUGGGCGAAAGCCUGACGGAGCAACGCCGCGUGAGUGAUGAAGGUCUUCGGAUCGUAAAACUCUGUUAUUAGGGAAGAACAAACGUGUAAGUAACUGUGCACGUCUUGACGGUACCUAAUCAGAAAGCCACGGCUAACUACGUG
rnacentral:rRNA from 1 species